rnacentral:sRNA from 1 species
AUACCGCGCGUGUCAAUCGGACGCGACAGGAGAAAGACCAGGGCGGUUUUUUCCGAUUUCCCGCUUUGACCAACAAAAUGGUAGCCGAGCUUUUGUACUGUCCGCGCG